rnacentral:lncRNA from 1 species
UCCACCGGGAUACCCAUUUUUGCCUGAGCCGCCCUUUUGGGUUUUCGACUCACCGGGUGUACUCUUUUUUUUUAUAUAUCCCUAAUUUUUGCCCGAACCUCUUUAUUCUUUUUUUUGGUUCGUCGGGAUGCCCCUUUUUUGCCUGGACUAUUCUUUUUACUGUCCAGCGGGUCUAUUUUAUGCGAAGUAUUUUUUAACCGCGUCUGAGUUAACAGGGGACG